AAAAUAUUAACCUAGAAAACAGCCUAUAAACACUAUUUACAUGAUAGCUAGCAGUAACGUUGGUUUUAGAGUCUAGAACCAUUAAAAACAGACACUUAUUUUCCAGUAGUGAUUGUUGUUGUUUUUGCCGCUGAGGGAAAACGGUUGAAUCUUUGGGGGGGGCAUUGUAAGACCAUGGUAAAGCAAUCCAUCCAUAUUUUAGAUAGCGUUUGCUUGUGAUAAAACAGACAGUCCUACUAUACACGUUUUCCUGAGCUGAGAGACUAAACCGAUAACAUGGAAGUGAUGAGGUACGUAAUCAUGUUUGGAUUUUACACUGGUCUGGACUGUUUCUAGUACAUUUAAUUAUUGAUGAGCGCAGCCAAUUCUCAUUGUUCCAGUUGGUUGCUUGAUAGUCUUUACUCAAGCUGGGGCUACAACAGGCCAAUCUCUGGACAACAUGUGUCAUCCAACAGGCCAAUCCCUGGGCAACAGGGGUCAUCCUACAACAGGGGUCAUCCAACAGGCCAAUCUCUGGACAACAGGGGUCAUUCUACAACAGGGGUCAUCCUACAACAGGGGUCAUCCUACAACAGGGGUCAUCCUACAACAGGGGUCAUCCUACAACAGGGGUCAUCCUACAACAGGGGUCAUCCUACAACAGGGGUCAUCUUACAACAGGGGUCAUCUAAGUGUGUUUUAUUUCUCAUGUUUUUAUUUUCUUAUUUUAUCUCCGCAUCAUUGAGGAAAAAGCUUGUAAGUCAGUCAGCAUUUC
ensembl:lncRNA